rnacentral:sRNA from 1 species
ACUGGGUGUGGUGGUGCAUGCCUGUAAUCCCAGCUACUCUGUAGACAGAGGAAGGGGGGAUCACUUGAGUCAGAGUUAGAAACCAGCUUGGACAACACAGGGGGACCCCGUUCAAA